AUUGAACGCUGGCGGCAGGCCUAACACAUGCCAGUCGAGCGGACGGACGGAGCUUGCUCCUCUAUGCAGCGACGGACGGGUGAGUAAUGCCUACGAAUCUACCUGGUAGUGGAGGCUGACGUCCGGAAACGGGCCCUAAUACCACAUCCGUCAUGAUGUAGAAAGUGAGGGAUCUUCGGACAUCACGCUUCCUGCUGAGCCUUGGACGGAUUAGCUAGUUGGUGGGGUAAAGGCCUACCAAGGCGACGAACCGUAGCUGGGCUGAGAGGAUGAUCGGACACACUGGAACUGAGACACGGUCCAGACUCCUACGGGAGGCAGCAGUAGGGAAUAUUGCACAAUGGGCGAAAGCCUGAUCCAGCAACGCCGCGUGUGUGAAGAAGGUCUUCGGAUUGUAAAGCACUGUAAGUUGGGAGGAAGGGAAGUAAGUUUAUACGUGGAUGUUUUGACGGUACCAACAGAAUAAGCAACGGCUAACUACGUG
rnacentral:rRNA from 1 species